UACGUAGGGGGCAAGCGUUGUCCGGAUUUAUUGGGCGUAAAGAGCGUGUAGGCGGUUUGGUAGGUCCGCUGUGAAAACUCGAGGCUCAACUUCGAGCUGUCGGUGGAAACUUUCUGGCUAGAGUCCGGAAGAGGAGAAUGGAAUUCCUGGUGUAGCGGUGAAAUGCGCAGAUAUCAGGAAGAACACCCGUGGCGAAGGCGGUUCUCUGGGACGGUACUGACGCUGAGACGCGAAAGCGUGGGGAGCGAACAGG
rnacentral:rRNA from 1 species